CAGUGAUCGUUGUUGUGAGAGGCGUCGGGGUUGCGAGGCGCAUGCUCAGGAUGAGAGAUAUGGAGGUACGGGUAAAUCUGAUGCAAAUACGUCUCAAUGCGAUUGUUUCGUGCUGUUUGCUGUUGCUGAUUAGGAUAAAUAUCCUCAAGUGUAAUUGUAUGCACAAUCGCAGUAGUAGAGUGAUUAGCUAGAGGACUGGUAACGGUUCGCAGUAAUGGUGGACGACCAUCAAUGACGAGCGAUUGCAAUUGGAGAGAAUGAAGAUGAGGUCCUAGUGUUUUUUUGUUUCUUGAAAUGAGCGGGUACCUUACUUUUUCCUCAUGUGUUCAACAUUAUGUACCUAGUGACGACCAAUUGUCAAUACAGCACAAAAUCGUCAAUAGAGUAUACAAUUGCUUGUAACCAAAGGGUAUGUAGAACCUUCCCACAGAAAUGAAAAACUAAUUCAAUAUUGACAAGAAUCUAAAACAUGGCUACCAGCAACAGUAAAACCUCCACAAAUCGCACAUGAAAAAAUCACAACCAACACAUUAAACAAAAUAAAUUAAAAAACAAUACUAAAACUAUUAACUACAAAUAAAAUACUAAACAUGUUGUAGCAAAACAAAACUAAAAUAAAGUAAAUAAAUAAAAGUCAAAAUAAUAAAAAUUAAUAUAAUAAUAAUAAAGAUAUAUAAUAAAUAAAAGGAACAAAAGAAAAAUGGGUUUUCAAUGUGGUAGGUACUGAUGGUGGCACAAACAGUGGUGGUGGGAGGGACAGCUGGCGAGGGAGGACGAGACUUCGAUGAGGUCUAGUCGACGGGGUAACGGUGGAGGUUGACGCUAGGAGGCUGUUGGUUGGGUGUUAAAAGAAGGGGAAGAGGAAGGAUAGGUCGAGGAAGAGGGAUGCAGAACGGAGGUGUGGGCUUUGCGCCGGAGCUGGUGUUCGGACCGAUGACGGAACAAAGGUGGCUGAUGGCGAGGGGAAGGAGAAGGGAAAAGAUCGAAAAAAAAUGGAAGAAGGAAAGGGGGGAUGAAGACGGUGGUUGUGGUGGUGUUGUGCAAAGAAAUGAAGGGGAGAGAUGGGUGUUUGGUGGUUGGUUGUCAAACUGGCAAAAGGAGGAUUUGACCGGCGGUGAGGUGGCAAAUCGACGGUGACUGGGUUUUAUGGGGGCUGGUGAAUGACUAAUGUUUGAGGAAGAAGGAGAAGGAAGGAAAACUAUAAAAUAAAAUAAAAUAAAAAAAUAAAAGAUAAAAAGAAAGAAAUCUAGC
rnacentral:lncRNA from 1 species